CGGGGGGGGCAAGCGUUGUUCGGAAUUACUGGGCGUAAAGGGCUCGUAGGUGGCCAACUAAGUCGGACGUGAAAUCCCUCGGCUUAACCGGGGAACUGCGUCCGAUACUGGUUGGCUUGAGUUUGGGAGAGGGAUGCGGAAUUCCAGGUGUAGCGGUGAAAUGCGUAGAUAUCUGGAGGAACACCGGUGGCGAAGGCGGCAUCCUGGACCAAUACUGACGCUGAGGAGCGAAAGCCAGGGGAGCAAACGGGAUUAGAUACCCCGGUAGUCCUGGCCCUAAACGAUGAAUGCUUGGUGUGGCGGGUAUCGAUCCCUGCCGUGCCGAAGCUAGCGCAUUAAGCAUUCCGCCUGGGGAGUACGGUCGCAAGGCUG
rnacentral:rRNA from 1 species